UUUUUGUUUUAAAAAUUUUAAUAAAAAUAAUUUUAUUAAUUUAAGUUUUUAGUAUUUUAUAAAGAAAAAAUUUUAUUAAUUAUAGUUAAUUUGUAUUGUAAAAGAUAAUUGAAAUAAUAAUAAAAUUUUAUAAAAGUAAAAUUGAUUUUUUGUACCUUGUGUAUCAGGGUUUAUUAAAUAAAUAUUAAUUAUUUUAAUUUUCUCGAUUUUAAGAGAGCUAAUAAAUUAUUUUUUUUAUUGUGAAAAAAAUAUUUAUAAUAAUUUAUUUGUAAUGAAACGUUAUUCGUUCUUAAAUAUAUCUAGUUUAUUUAGAAAUGAAUUUAAUUCAGAUAUUAUUAUUUUAAUAAAUUAAUUUUUUAAUUUAUUAAAUUUUAAUAUUAAUAAUUAAAGGGAUUAGCUUUUAAUUAAAAAUUUAUAAAUAUAGAAAGAAUUUAAAAAAUGUAAGUUUAGAAAUAGCUAUCAUUAAUAAUUUGUUAUAAUUAAUUUAUUUUUUUAUAUUAUUUUAUAUUAUUUUAAGUUUUUUAUAAAUAAAUAAUUUUUAAUUUUUAAAAAUUAGUUAUAAUGAUAAAAUUAGUAUAUAUGAUUUAUGUUUAAAUAAUAAUUUGUAAAAGAUUAUUUAAAGGAAUUCGGCAAAAAUUUUACUCGCCUGUUUAACAAAAACAUGUCUUUUUGAAUUAUAUAUAAAGUCUAACCUGCCCAAUGAAAAUUAAAUGGCCGCAGUAAUUUGACUGUGCAAAGGUAGCAUAAUCAUUAGUUUUUUAAUUAAAAGCUCGUAUGAAAGGUUGGACGAGGUAAAUUCUGUCUCUAUUUAAUUUAAAUUAGAAUUUAAUUUUUAAGUUAAAAAGCUUAAAUUUUUAUAAAAGACGAGAAGACCCUAUAGAGCUUUAUAAUUAUGUUAUUAUAAUUAUUUAAGAUUUAUUUAAGUUUUAAUGAUAUAAUUAUUUUAUUGGGGUAAUAGAAAGAUUGAAAAAAUUCUUUUUUAUUAUAAACAUAAAUUUAUGAAUUUAAUGAUCCAUUUUUAAUGAUUAUAAGAUUAAGUUACCUUAGGGAUAACAGCGUAAUUUUUUUAGAGAGUUCAUAUCGAUAAAAAAGUUUGCGACCUCGAUGUUGGAUUAAAGAUUAGUUUAGGUGUAGAAGUUUAAAUUUUUGGUCUGUUCGACCAUUAAAUCUUUACAUGAUCUGAGUUCAGACCGGUGUAAGCCAGGUCGGUUUCUAUCUUUAUUUAAUUAAAAUAUUUUAGUACGAAAGGACCAAAUAUUUAAUAUAUUUAUAUUUAUUUUUUGAAUAUUAUUAUUAUUUUGGCAGAUUAGUGCAAUGAAUUUAGAAUUCAUAAAUGUAAUUAUUUUACAAAUAAU
rnacentral:rRNA from 1 species